UUGCUUCUUUGCUGACGAGUGGCGGACGGGUGAGUAAUGUCUGGGAAACUGCCUGAUGGAGGGGGAUAACUACUGGAAACGGUAGCUAAUACCGCAUAACGUCGCAAGACCAAAGAGGGGGACCUUCGGGCCUCUUGCCAUCGGAUGUGCCCAGAUGGGAUUAGCUAGUAGGUGGGGUAACGGCUCACCUAGGCGACGAUCCCUAGCUGGUCUGAGAGGAUGACCAGCCACACUGGAACUGAGACACGGUCCAGACUCCUACGGGAGGCAGCAGUGGGGAAUAUUGCACAAUGGGCGCAAGCCUGAUGCAGCCAUGCCGCGUGUAUGAAGAAGGCCUUCGGGUUGUAAAGUACUUUCAGCG
rnacentral:rRNA from 1 species